GAUGUCUGGAUAUCAAAUCAAGCCUUCUCAAGACUAUGUUUCAACUUUAGUGACGUCAUUACCUUGCCUGUUGUUCGCUGCUUUCUCUCUGGAGGAGCGAAAGUUACUGCACAGGGUGCAGGCAGAAGAGAAACUGUCUGGAGGCGGAAACAGUCACAGUUCUUUUGGAUUCCCUGAACAAACAAAUUCCUGGGAACGUAACAUCUGAAUUGAACCAUUCAUACCAAUCCUGAAAAGAGUUACCGGAGUGCUCCUGCAGAUGUUUCCUGACUCCCACCAGUUUCAGAUUUAAUGACUCCACUCUUCUCAGAUUUUUGUGCCAACUCCUGCCGACUGACUGCAGCCACUGCAGAAUGAUUUAGACUUUCCCCGACUGGAAAUCAGAGUCUUAUUUUCCCCAUCACUGUCAGUGGGGAAUGAAGACCAUCUGCAGCCCUUCUGCCCCCUGACAUCUGGAGAUGGGUUCAGAGACCGAAACACGCAGUCUCUUUACAGUAAAGCACUAGAAAAGAAGGAAAGGAGAUGAGGAAUGAGCUAGAGGGUGGGACGAGAGGAAAAAAUGUAGAGUGCUGUUAGAACAGAUUUAACUCUCCUCAGGUAAGCGAUUAAGCUGGUUAUUAAAGCAAAGUAGAGAAGCUACUUUAUUGAAAACCCUAUGGCCUUUCUCAUUAGGAAACUACUUGCUGAGCUGCCUCUGUUUCUGCCAGAGGCCUUUUUUAUUAUCAAUAGUUCUUUUUUAAUGACCCCAUAUGUCUGUCGAUUUUGAGGCACAAUGGAAAGAAAGACAGUGCUAAACGACUGACCAUCAGAUAAAAUACAAUAGGAGCAGGCAGAGCAAUAAAAAAAACAGGUUUCUUUCUUUUUUAGUAUUGCUUAGUAUGGCUCUUUUUUUGAAUACUUUUUAUCAUUUUCAGAUUACAAGUGCAUGGAAAGAUGUCCAUCACUGCAUCUUUGCAGAAAAAAAUGAUCAAAAAAGUCUGUCUUGUUAUUUCUUUGAACCAGGUUAAAGAUGAAGUCAUGUUUAAUACAUUUAAAUGCUCCUCAUUCACAUGCUGGUCACUGAAUCCCUCCAGAACCGGAGAAUUAAUUUCCAUACAUCAGAGUUGCUCUGUCGACUUCGUUUAUUGUAAUAAAAUAUAUGAUCUGUGUUAUCCA